rnacentral:rRNA from 1 species
UGGGGAAUAUUGCACAAUGGGCGAAAGCCUGAUGCAGCGACGCCGCGUGAGGGAUGACGGCCUUCGGGUUGUAAACCUCUUUCAGCAGGGAAGAAGCGAAAGUGACGGUACCUGCAGAAGAAGCACCGGCUAACUACGUGCCAGCAGCCGCGGUAAUACGUAGGGUGCGAGCGUUGUCCGGAAUUAUUGGGCGUAAAGAGCUUGUAGGCGGUUUGUCGCGUCUGCCGUGAAAAUCCGGGGCUCAACCCCGGACUUGCGGCGGGUACGGGCAGACUAGAGUGUGGUAGGGGAGACUGGAAUUCCUGGUGUAGCGGUGAAAUGCGCAGAUAUCAGGAGGAACACCGAUGGCGAAGGCAGGUCUCUGGGCCACUACUGACGCUGAGAAGCGAAAGCGUGGGGAGCGAACAGGAUUAGAUACCCUGGUAGUCCACGCCGUAAACGUUGGGAACUAGGUGUGGGUCUCAUUCCACGAGAAUCUGUGCCGCAGCUAACGCAUUAAGUUCCCCGCCUGGGGAGUACGGCCGCAAGGCUAAAAACUCAAAAGGAA